AAACACGCGAAGGCUCAUCUUUUGAAGAGUCAAAAAUCCAAAUUCCUCAAUACGGACUACAACUCACACAGUACUUACAAGCGCGUAGGCUGAAAGGACACGAAAGAAUCGAUUAAGUACAGGCUGUACAGCCACAGCCCUUUUACAGUUUACACCCACAAAGUGAAAAACAUCCGGUGCGAAUGCUGUUUGAAAACCUAGGUUUUUCUCGCGGUUAAGCCGUUAAGCUCGUGCUUGCUCACUGCUGAUCCCUCGACUGUGUCUUUUCGCUUUGGAGCUCGAGGAAGCUUGCCUUGCCAUCCGCCACAGCAGGCUCAUCCAUCAGGAUCUACUAAUUUGGUUUCGAAUUAUGCCCCCAUUUUCGUGUUUUGCCCAAAAUACUCUUAUUAGGGCAUAUAUUCAUUUGGUGAUUUUUCACAUACUCAGGUAAAUGAUGGCAGUCAUCCUGCCUAGGACCGUCCGCAGGGCGGCGGAGGCAGCGUUGUCACUACACUCCGUACCGCCGCGCGCCGCCUGUCACUUUGCGCGGUCUUUGGGCGGCGUCUCUUCUGCUUGCAGCAUGGAGUUCGUGUCGUGGCAAAAUGGCGGGGGCAUCCUGCACCGGGCGGCCUCCGUUGACCCCACUGCUGUGGUGGAGGCUGGAGCGGUUGUGCACUCUGGUGCCGUCCUCGGCAAAGAGGUCGUCGUUGGUUCUGGGGCUGUGGUUGGGCCUUCAGUUUCCAUAGGUCAAUCAACUAGGGUCGGGUACAAUGUUGUCUUAAGCAAUUGCUCAGUGGGUGAGUUCUGUAUUAUCCACAAUGGAUCCUCCAUUGGUCAAGAUGGUUUUGGCUUUUUUGUGGAUGAGGCUGGACAAGUUAAGAAGAAACCACAGAUGCUGUGCGCAAGAAUUGGAGACCAUGUAGAAAUAGGGGCAAAUACAUGCAUUGACAGAGGCAGCUGGAGAGAGACAACGGUCGGAAAUCAUACCAAGAUUGAUAAUCUGGUCCAGAUAGGCCACAAUGUGGUCAUUGGGAAGUGCUGCAUGAUAUGUGGGCAAGUAGGGAUUGCUGGUUCUGCAACACUGGGGGACUAUGUUACAUUGGGUGGUAGAGUGGCAAUUCGGGACCAUGUCUCAGUCGCAUCGAAGAUCCGUAGCCCACCGCGCGCGCCGGAAACUGAGAGUCUGAGAGCCGCCCUAGUGCCCUGCCGCCGCCACCCUUCAGUUCUUCGUCUACUGGUUCUCAAAUUGGUAUUGCUUUUACCGGUGGCAACUGCGAGUGUUGAAAGGGUAUUUUCUGCAUUGGUUAUAGUGAAAUCAAAAUCAAGAAAUAAGCUAGGUGAUACUAUUUUGGAUGAUUGUCUACUCACGUUUAUUGAGCGAGAUAUUUUCUUCUAAGUUGAUGAAUGUGAUAUAAUUGAGUCAUUCAUGUCAUUAGAAAAGAGGAGGAUCAACAAGUAAUAUUGUAAGUCUCUUCUAUAGCUAUACUUUAAAUUAUAUGUAUUUCAUUUGAACAAUUUGUAUCAAGAUUUAUCGUCGUACUCUAUAUGGUUUUACCGAAUUAGAAUGUGGUUUUACCGAAUUAUUAAUGGUUUACCAAAUUGCAUAAGACAUUUUUUCUAUCGCAUACCCUGUGAUCAAAUCUUAGGUUCGCCACUGCCCCAACUUCUGAGGCUGAUGCGACUGUAUUGUAGCUGACCUCAGGCUUCUUUCUCACUGUUUUUGCGUCCUUCUUGCAGGUUCGACUCGCAGCUAAUAGCUUGGUGACAAAAGAUAUUCAGGAGCCUGGUGACUACGGUGGAUUCCCCGCUGUACCGAUAAAUGAAUGGCGCAGGCAAAUUGCAAAUUUGCGGUUGUUCUCGAAGAAAGCUAGCGUGAAAAGAUAGCAUCCAGCAACCCCCCCUGCGCGAUUUUUUUUCCCUGACGGUAGUAUUUGACAGUGACUGUAGCCCUCAUUUUUUAAUCGAGCGACAUUGCUUGGCUUGUUUGCUGCCGCUUUUGUCUCUGGUGCUCCAAAAUUUCGGCUACACAAUGGAAUUCGACCUUUUGAAAGAUUUUUUGGACUCUUGGUUGUUUAA